UACGGAGGGUGCAAGCAUUAAUCGGAUUUAUUGGGCGUAAAGGGCGCGUAGGCGGCUGUACAAGUCAAAGGUGAAAUCCCUCGGCUCAACUGAGGAACUGCCUUUGAAACUGUACGGCUUGAGGCCGGGAGGGGGUAGCGGAAUUCCCAAUGUAGCGGUGAAAUGCGUAGAUAUUGGGAAGAACACCGGUGGCGAAGGCGGCUCACUGGCUCAUUACUGACGCUCAGGCGCGAUAGCGUGGGGAUCAAACAGG
rnacentral:rRNA from 1 species